CCUGGAGGCACCCUGGUGUGGGCUGUGGGCCUGGGGGUCCUUGGCACUGUCCAGUAUGCGGACGUGCUAGCAGCCCACAUUUCCCCCAGUGACCACCAGGCUGUGCCCUGGACAUGGCCGUCUGAGCACGUCGUGUCCUGGGGCCCCGUCUGGUGGUCAGGCUCAGUGCGAGCCCAUCAGGGGUACUCUGCCCGUCUGGGAAGACAGUGUGGCUUCUGGGGGCUCCUCCAGGGAGGCUCUGGACCAGGCUGCAGAGGAUGCCAACCUGCCACAGGCUGGCCUGGCCGCUCAUGGACAUGGCGGCUCCUGGCCCAGGGUAUCUCCCCUGGGAACCCAGGCGUGCUCGCGGCCCUCUGGAAUGCAGGCGCUGGGGCUGUGGGGGGCCGCCUGGCGCCUGGCAUCUUGUUAUAAAAAGCUCUGGCGCAGGCUGCUCUCAGUGGCUGCAGGAUGGUUGUGGCUUUGGAAGGGCAGCCCCCAGGGGCCUUGGUCAGCCACCUGUGGGCCCCACUGCCGAGCCGUGGUCAGCCCUCACUGGCUGCCCUGCCAUGACGCUGCUGAGGCCAGUGCAGCUCCUGCCAGACUCCCGUGACAAGUCAUAACAGAGCCACAUGCCGGGUGGCUGCAGGGCCCUGUCGCCCACAGCAGUCGAGGUCUCAGGUGUGUCUGGAGGGCAGCCCUGGAGACACCUGGGACAGGCGUACCUCUGGCAGGCGCACCCUGGCUGUCACCCAGUGUGGGCAUGGUGGGGUUGCUGGAAUGCUGUGUAGGGCAGGAGGCAGCAGCCCGUGGCUGGGUGGGAGACUGCAGGGUAGACGGGAUGGGACCAGGAGGGUUGUUCCCAGGGACUGCCAAGCCAUCCCCAGGUGUCAAGAGUGUGAGGUAGGAGUGGGAGCCCAGAGCCGGCUCCAGGCCACCCCAACUCCCGACAGCUCUCGGCUGUUCUGUGUGAGGGGGGACGGGGCCGAGUGUGGGUCGGCGCAGUGCUGAGGUGUCUCACGUACCCCAGCACUGUGCUGAAUGCAUUGAAAUCACUGCCCAGGGCUCCGCGAGCUGCACGGCCCGGCUUUGUCAAUUUCAUUGCUGUUGAUGCCAAUUAGGGGUGACGCUGUCCCUCCCGCAUCCCAGGGUGGGCAGAGGGAGGGGCCGGCUUGUUCCCUGGGGGCAGGCGUGCAUGGAGUCAGCCUGGCCAUGGAGCUGUGGCCAAGAGGGCAGCGGGGGCAGCUGGACUGGGGUUUUUGCCGACGCUCUAAUUUGGCGGCUGUCGCCACCCCUCCCCCCCCACGGAGACCCUGACGUGGCCUGAGCCAGACUCCAGGGGCCAUGUGCCCUGCUGGGGAGCAGGGGCUCAGCAUCAGGUCUGGUGCACUGACUGGGAGAGGGGGGUCUCCAGCCCUGGACAGGCCCUGAGUGGGGUGGGGUCCCCCAGCUGCUGUGCCCAGCCCUGCCCCCAGGACCUGGCCUUGGCCCUGCGCUGGCCGGGGCCAGGGAGGGAGUGGGCCCAGCUCCCAAGUCUGUGUGACCACCUCGGCUGGGGCACUGACAGCCCGGGGUGCGGAGGGCCCAGCCCAUGACACCCGCCGUCAGCCGCGCCCUCUGCCUCCAGCCCGUGGACCGGGAGCCGGUGGUGUGCCACCCCGACCUGGAGGAGCGGCUGCAGGCCUGGCCAGCGGAGCUGCCUGAUGAGUUCUUUGAGCUGACGGUGGACGACGUGAGAAGACGCUUGGCCCAGCUCAAGAGUGAGCGGAAGCGCCUGGAAGAAGCCCCCUUGGUGACCAAGGCCUUCAGGGAGGCGCAGAUAAAGGAGAAGCUGGAGCGAGGUGGCUCUGAGGGUCCUGUUCCCCGACCGCUACGUCCUACAGGGCUGCUUCCGCCCCAGCGAGACAGUGGGGGACUUGCGAGACUUCGUGAGGAGCCACCUGGGGAACCCCGAGCUGUCAUUUUACCUGUUCGUCACCCCUCCAAAAACAGUCCUGGAUGACCACACGCAGACCCUCUUUCAGGCGAACCUCUUCCCGGCCGCUCUGGUGCACUUCGGAGCCGAGGAGCCGGCAGGUGUCUACCUGGAGCCUGGCCUGCUGGAGCAUGCCAUCUCCCCAUCUGCGGCCGACGUGCUGGUGGCCAGGUAAGUGCCGGUGGGUCUGGGGGCACCUCCCGUGGCGGCACUCACCACUCUGUGUCUUCGCCUCCCCACAGGUACAUGUCCAGGGCCGCCGGGUCCCCUUCCCCAUUGCCAGCCCCUGACCCUGCACCUAAGUCUGAGCCAGCUGCUGAGGAGGGGGCGCUGGUCCCCCCUGAGCCCAUCCCAGGGACGGCCCAGCCCGUGAAGAGGAGCCUGGGCAAGCCAGCAAGAGGUGAGAGCUGCCAGCCUGAGGUGCCCACUCCGCCAGCCACAGGACCACCUCCUCUGCCAGCAGGAAUAAAGACUUGUGCAUCCCU
rnacentral:sRNA from 1 species